rnacentral:sRNA from 1 species
GUUACGGAGUUUUUUUCAGAAGGUAGUGGAGGUUAAGGAAAGGGAAGGAGGAGGUGGUGAUGGUGGUGGUGAUGGUGGGCUAGUGGUGACGACGGGCGCGAGUUGUAAGUUGUCUCCGGGCGGAGGGGAAAUGGUAUGUUGAAAGUUAUCUAUCGUGCGUUUGGCGUUGGUUUCAAUGAGCCAUGUCACUUCAUCUGAGAGUGGCAUCAAUAAAGAAUCAUGGUAGAAGCCGGGAAGCAAUAUAUGGAAGCAAAAAUUUCUUUGGUAUUACGAAAAUGCAUCAGAUAUCAUCUGCAUACGUUUCUUUAUAACUGCGAAAAUGGCAACAUCCGAAUCUCACUUUCCAGUUCCGUCCAAACGUAUCGCAUUUAGAUCGUCCGUCACAUCCGUGAUCCCCAAUUUAGCAUAGGCAUCCCCUUUCCCGACCCUCUCCACCAGCUCCUUCAAAGCAUUCCCGGCCCACCUAAAGUCCUCCAGCUCCAGAUAAGUUUGCCCACUCAGCCGUGUCCAUAACCAACCACCAUGCGGGAAAAUCGGAGCAGCAGCGUCAUAUUCACACAAAAACUUCUCGAGUAUCCAUUUAGCAACGGCCAUUGCAUCUCUGCCCUUGAUCACAGGAUACUGCGAAUCCUUCUCAACAUGUCUGCCACUACCAUCAUCAACCGCAAGAGGUAAACGAACAUUGGCGAAGGCACAUUGCCGGAUCUUACUUGCUCCUAUCACCUUAGGGUCCACGCCAGGCUCGCUCAUCACGUCUGUGCCGAGUAUUUCGGCCACGAUAUUGCCGCCCUCAUGUGCUAAUUGCUGGCAAUAUGACAUGAUCCUUUCCUCGCCGCCACAAACUUCUUCACGAAAUUUAAGAGCGGCUGGGAUGCAGUUGUAUGGCGAAUCAUCGUUUGUGGCAACAAAUUCAAAUUGGAACUCGAAGUCAGACUUGCCUUUUUGCUUUGGGAUUGGGAGAGAUACGUCCAGGUUCUUAGGGACAAAGCCGUGUGAGGUGGGAAGAGUUGUGCGAAUUAAGUGUUGGUUGCGGAUAGGGACAUGGAAUACUGCACAACCGCGGGGUACGUAGAGCCAUCUGGUAAGCAGCGUUAGUCAUGUUAGUAAAUGGU